UACGGAGGGAGCUAGCGUUGUUCGGAUAUACUGGGCGUAAAGCGCACGUAGGCGGCGCAGCAAGUCAGGGGUGAAAUCCCCGGAGCUCAACUCCGGAACUGCCUUUGAAACUGCAGUGCUAGAAUUCUGGAGAGGCGAGUGGAAUUCCGAGUGUAGAGGUGAAAUUCGUAGAUAUUCGGAAGAACACCAGUGGCGAAGGCGACUCGCUGGACAGACAUUGACGCUGAGGUGCGAAAGCGUGGGGAGCAAACAGG
rnacentral:rRNA from 1 species